GCAGUGCAGUCCAUGAGGUCACAAAGAGUCAGACACGACUGAGUGACUGAACAACAACAGGCUUGUUUGCCCCACAAGCAGCAGGCCUGACACUGAAGUUUGCAGCAGAGAAGGAGUUUGUUGAUGAGGUCACCAUGAAAGGAGAACACAGUUCCAACUCUGAGGGCCAGAGGCUUGAGAUAGUUAUGGGAUAAAGAAUCAGGACACACACUGAGCUUCUGUUAACCCUUUGGACGUGAUUUCACACAGGGAAGAGAUGAUGCACACCCACCAUUCAGACACAGUAGAUGGAAAUAACCAAGAACAGAUGAUAAAAAAAUGUGCAACAUAGUAGCAUAAUUGAUCAUAAGUGAUGACUUUUGAGUUUUUACUAACUUUGUUUUUAAUACAAUUUUUUAAGUCUG